rnacentral:rRNA from 1 species
GACGAACGCUGGCGGCGUGCCUAAUACAUGCAAGUAGAACGCUGAAGGAGGAGCUUGCUUCUCUGGAUGAGUUGCGAACGGGUGAGUAACGCGUAGGUAACCUGCCUGGUAGCGGGGGAUAACUAUUGGAAACGAUAGCUAAUACCGCAUAAGAGUAGAUGUUGCAUGACAUUUGCUUAAAAGGUGCAAUUGCAUCACUACCAGAUGGACCUGCGUUGUAUUAGCUAGUUGGUGGGGUAACGGCUCACCAAGGCGACGAUACAUAGCCGACCUGAGAGGGGGAUCGGCCACACUGGGACUGAGACACGGCCCAGACUCCUACGGGAGGCAGCAGUAGGGAAUCUUCGGCAAUGGACGGAAGUCUGACCGAGCAACGCCGCGUGAGUGAAGAAGGUUGUCGGAUCGUAAAGCUCUGUUGUAAGAGAAGAACGAGUGUGAGAGUGGAAAGUUCACACUGUGACGGUAUCUGACCAGAAAGGGACGGCUAACUACGUG